rnacentral:misc_RNA from 1 species
ACAGCAUUGAUGGUAUUUCAAGAACUUGACUUAAAGAGGUUCAUAAUUAUUAACUAUCCCAACUAGGAAUAAUUACAUAAUGCAUAUCUAGCAGAAAUGCUAACCUAGAUAUGCUAACCUACACACUAAGUAUAUCGUCUCGGAUACAAGAUCCAUCGCCUUUUCUAUGUUGAGAAUAUGAGAGAAUUCACACAGUACAAUCUGACUAAGCAAAUUCAUGAUGUUACCUUCAUACUUGAUCCAACGAGUAUUAAAUGACGUAGAAGCUGAUGCAUCUAGGAAGCAACACCAACAGCUAAACGUCCCACUCUAGUACUACGGCUCAAAUCGAUACUUCUAAUAUCUUUUCUCAUUGCAUUGUUUCCUAUUGAUCUUCGCGCAACCACCUUUGUUUUCUCUUCAGCUUUGAAGCCCUUGUUUCCCUUGAUUGUAUCUGCUGUUCUCGGUCUUGGAGAAUUCAGUACCUGCUUUUUCUCUUGCUCUCUCUUUGGAGCUACUGUUCUAUUUGAUCGCGUCUGCCAGGACGUUUUGUUUGUUCGAACUGAAGAUGGGACGCUGCUGUCAGAUAACUCUGCUGAAGGAUGAUUGGUUACUUCUGAAACCUGUGGUGAAUCAGCCAGGGGCUAGAGUUACUACUGUAACAGAGAACACUGUUCCUUGUUCCACUAGUGAACAUCUAAUCAUG